rnacentral:lncRNA from 1 species
UUUGCUACAGGCGACGUUGCCGCCUCGCCGCCGUCACCGGCCGGGACCUUGCGAACUGUACUGUAAGCUCACAAUAAACCGGGACUGGGCGCCUUCCGGGGCGCAGAGGGCCCCGCGCAAGGACAGUGUAGUUCUCGGCUGGGGUCGAGUUUCGCCCCUGCACAGAGAAGAGAUCAAACUCUAGGACGUACCCGUUAUAAUCACACAUGCAAAUUAUAAAGUUUUAAAGGAGGAAGUCCAGGUCAAAUAAGGAAGGAGGUAGAGCCCAGGGAUGCAGCUGUCAGACCUUGGAGAAGGAGCACUUGGAGACUAGAGUGCACAAGAUGGCUCAAAAGGGAUUAAGGAUGAAUGGAGAGAUGGGAGAUUUUGACCAGAAACUAAAAUACUGGAGUUUAAAUGGCUCAAGGCAUUCCUUAAUCUACUCAAAGUGACACCUAAGAUUAACCAUCACAAAUGGGGAUGAAGUCUGGAUUAGCGAGAGUCUGGAAAGACCAAGAUCAGGAUGUCAUCAUGGUUGGAUUCUGCUGAGGGCCCACCUCUGGAUUCAUAGAAUGGCACCUUCUUGCUGUGUCCUCACAUGGUCUAAGGGACUAAAAGCCCUCAUGGCCUGACCACCUCCCAGUGGUCACACCUCCUAAUACCAUCACUUUGGGGGUUAGGAUUUCAAUAUAUGAAUUCCGGGGAGACAUAGACAUUUAGACUAUAGUACCUGCCUUUUCUAUAUGAACUUUACUCCUGGAAAACAAAACAGUAGAUGAGAGAAUGUGUGUUUUUAUGAAAGUAUUCCAACUCAAAUAAAACAGAAAUGAUAGAAUAUCAGCAGUUGACAACUCUGCAGUGAAUGAUAGAUACUGACACUUUGCAGCUAUUAAGAUCAUUAAAAAAUGACAACAGGACAAUCUGUGCCUCCUACAGUCCUGCCAUACAGUGUCCAUAGUUUUG